rnacentral:lncRNA from 1 species
CAGAUUUAAUAGUUACUAUAUAAAAAUGCAUGAAUUUACAAACAUUCGAGGCCGUACUGUAGCCUAUAAUUGAUCACAGUUCCUUCACUUUGUUUUGGAUGUAGAUCUGUCUCUUUCACACUCAAUUGUACACCACUUUGUGAGGCGAUGGUUUAUAGUGAUAAUGAAGUCCGUCUUUCCGUUCGUCCGUUGGACCGGUACAACAUGUUUCGCCGGUUUUGCAAGCGCAUCUCCACAUACACCACUUAAUAUACAUUGGUGUUUCCAGACAUUUUUAAAUGGAGAGGGGGUCCAAUCCAGGAGAAAAGAGGAUUCCAAAUAUAUGUUCCCAUACAAAUGCAUUGAAAGUUAAAAAAAAAGAGUUUCAAACCGCCGGAUCCCAAUUUUCUUGAAUCCGUCACUGGUAUAACUAUUAAUUAUUUUUUUCUCGGAUUCCGUAUCAUAAAUAUAAAAAAUAUAAAAAAGAAGAUGCGGUAUGAUUGCCAAUGAGACAACCGUUCACAAGAGAUCAAAAUGACACAGAUAUUAACAAAUGUAGGUCACCGUAUGGCCUUCAACAAUAAGCAAAGCCAAUACCACAGAGUCGGCUAUAAAAAGCCCCGAAAUGACAAUGUAAAACAAUUCAAACGAGAAAAUUAACGGCC